rnacentral:lncRNA from 1 species
AUUGAGGCAAAAGGCAGCAGUACCACAGGAUCAUUCUGAGGGCCCAACAGUUUCCAUAGAUCCUACUGAGGCAUAUCGAGAUGAUGCAGAUACUAGUUUUGACAUAGAUAUAGAGGAGCAGAGAGAGGUAUAGAUUCUAGUAUGCAGGGCGAGAGGACACAUAAUACUUCCUCUUCAGCCCUAACAUCGAUCAUAGAGCCAGUUAGUGGAUCUCUAGAGCUUACUCACCCAUCCCC